UACGGAGGUGGCAAGCGUUGUUCGGAUUUAUUGGGUGUAAAGGGUAUGUAGGUGUCUUGAUAAGUCGAACGUGAAAUCCCUUGGCUCAACCAAGGAAGUGCAUUCGAUACUGUCAAGAUUGAGCGUGGAAGAGGAGAGUGGAAUUCCCGGUGUAAGGGUGAAAUCUGUAGAUAUCGGGAGGAACACCAGUGGCGAAAGCGGCUCUCUGGUCCAAUGCUGACACUGAAAUACGAAAGCUAAGGGAGCAAACAGGAUUAGAUACCCGUGUA
rnacentral:rRNA from 1 species